GAUGAACGCUAGCGAUAGGCUUAACACAUGCAAGUCGAGGGGCAGCAUGGUCUUAGCUUGCUAAGACUGAUGGCGACCGGCGCACGGGUGCGUAACGCGUAUGCAACUUGCCUCACAGAGGGGGAUAACCCGUCGAAAGACGGACUAAUACCGCGUACACUUGGGAUAGGGCAUCCUGACCCAAGGAAAUGAAAUUCGCUGUGAGAUAGGCAUGCGUCCCAUUAGCUAGUUGGUGAGGUAACGGCUCACCAAGGCGACGAUGGGUAGGGGAACUGAGAGGUUGAACCCCCACACUGGUACUGAGACACGGACCAGACUCCUACGGGAGGCAGCAGUGAGGAAGAUUGGUCAAUGGGCGAGAGCCUGAACCAGCCAAGUCGCGUGAAGGAUGACUGUCUUAUGGAUUGUAAACUUCUUUUAUACGGGAAUAACAAGAGCCACGUGUGGCUCCCUGCAUGUACCGGAUGAAUAAGCAUCGGCUAACUCCGUG
rnacentral:rRNA from 1 species